rnacentral:rRNA from 1 species
UACAGAGGUCUCAAGCGUUUGUUCGGAUUCAUUGGGCGUAAAGGGCGCGUAGGCGGCGCGGUAAGUCGGGUGUGAAAUCUUGGAGCUUAACUCCGAAACUGCAUUCGAUACUGCCGUGCUUGAGGACUGGAGAGGAGACUGGAAUUUACGGUGUAGCGGUGAAAUGCGUAGAUAUCGUAAGGAAGACCAGUGGCGAAGGCGGGUCUCUGGACAGUUCCUGACGCUGAAGCACGAAGGCCAGGGGGAGCAAACGGGG